UGUUUGAACAGGCCCAAAACAAAAGCAAACCGUUGCCUCUUUUUCCCUUUCAUUCUCCCACCCCCAAACACAGAGAAACCCCUCAUAGGCGAAACAAUAGUUCGAGGACAACGAAGCUGCACUCCUCCGUCUUGACCUUAUUAAGAAGCUCGUGGUUGAUGUUGUGAUCAUCCGUCGAUCAGUCGAACGGAUGGUAGGAAAGAAUUUUGGAUGUUAUCAUAGCUGUAGAGAGAAGGUGCACUUCUUCGCUAAUUGCCCAAAGAAACGACAAUGCUCAUGGUGUAAAAUUGGAUAUGUGAAGUGCUUUGAGGUUGAGAGGGAAAUGAAGAAUAAGAGAAAAUUGUUCAAUUGCUGAACUGCUGACUGUAAAUACUGGGAAUGGGUUGACGUGGGAGAAUCGAGUAGCGGAUUGAGUACUAUUGUUGUUAACUCGAAUAAUCAGGUGGCACUUGAAGAAGUCCAGCAAUUCUCUAUCAUGUUCCAGUCCCUUUGUUGGGUAACCGAAGAACAAAAUAUUGAAAUUUCUUUGAACGUGACAAUAAGGAAGGCCAAUGGAAGUGCGGGAGUGGAUAAGAAAGGGAAGGGCCGGCAAGAACACGAUCUUUUUCUUAGGAUGCAUCGCUACCACCUUUGAUGUGCAAUAUGUGUUGUGUUAUGUGGAGUUGAUGUGAAAUAUCUGUUAUGUUGUGUGAACAAAUCAUUGUAAUGUACUCACAUUUCAUGUUUCAACAGUUAUGUGAAUGAUGUUGGUGUGAAUUUUAGUGGAUUGUAGUUUGUUUUC